rnacentral:rRNA from 1 species
ACUGCUCAGUAACACGUGGACAACCUGCCCUUAGGUUGGGUAUAAACCCGGGAAACUGGGUAUAAUACCCGAUAGGUCUCGAUUGCUGGAAUGCAUCGAGAUUUAAAGCUCCGGCGCCUAAGGAUGGGUCUGCGGCCUAUCAGGUAGUAGUGGGUGUAGCGUACCUACUAGCCUACGACGGGUACGGGUUGUGAGAGCAAGAGCCCGGAGAUGGAUUCUGAGACACGAAUCCAGGCCCUACGGGGUGCAGCAGGCGCGAAAACUUUACAAUGCUGGCAACAGCGAUAAGGGAACCUCGAGUGCCAGGUUACAAAUCUGGCUGUCGAGAUGCCUAAAAAGCAUUUCAUAGCAAGGGCCGGGCAAGACCGGUGCCAGCCGCCGCGGUAACACCGGCGGCUCGAGUGGUAACCGUUAUUAUUGGGUCUAAAGGGUCUGUAGCCGGCCGGAUAAGUCUCUUGAGAAAUCUGGCAGCUUAACUGUCAGGCUUUCAGGAGAUACUGUCUGGCUCGAGGCCGGGAGAGGUGAGAGGUACUUCAGGGGUAGGGGUGAAAUCUUGUAAUCCUUGAAGGACCACCAGUGGCGAAGGCGUCUCACCAGAACGGACCUGACGGCAAGGGACGAAAGCUAGGGGCACGAACCGGAUUAGAUACCCGGGUAGUCCUAGCCGUAAACGAUACUCGCUAGGUGUCGCCCACGGUGCGACCGUUGUCGGUGCCGUAGGGAAGCCGUGAAGCGAGCCACCUGGGAAGUACGGCCGCAAGGCUGAAACUUAAAGGAAUUGGCGGGGGAGCAC